UCACUUUUAUUCGAAUAAUGACGCUAGUAUAAUUGGAAUGACACAGAGGAUUAGCACUCCUUCCUGUGCAAGGAUGACAUGCAAAUUUAUGAAGCAUUUGAUAUUUAA
ensembl:snRNA U6 U6 spliceosomal RNA